rnacentral:rRNA from 1 species
UACGGAGGGGGCUAGCGUUGUUCGGAAUUACUGGGCGUAAAGCGCACGUAGGCGGCUUUGUAAGUCAGAGGUGAAAGCCCAGGGCUUAACCCUGGAAUUGCCUUUAAGACUGCAUCGCUAGAAUCGUGGAGAGGUGAGUGGAAUUCCGAGUGUAGAGGUGAAAUUCGUAGAUAUUCGGAAGAACACCAGUGGCGAAGGCGACUCACUGGACACGUAUUGACGCUGAGGUGCGAAAGCGUGGGGAGCAAACAGG